rnacentral:rRNA from 1 species
CAGUAGCCGCGGUAACACGAGGGGUGCAAGCGUUAUUCGGAUUGAUUGGGUGUAAAGGGUGUGCAGACGGCUUAUUAAGUCACUUGUUAAAUUCUUCGGCCUAACUGAAGGUCUGCAAGUGAUACUGAUGAGCUAGAGGGUGGAAGAGAGAAGUGGAAUUCUCGGAGUAGCGGUAAAAUGCGUAGAUCUCGAGAGGAACACCAAUGGCGAAGGCAGCUUCUUGGUCCAUUCCUGACGUUCAUACACGAAAGCGUGGGGAGCAAACGGGAUUAGAUACCCGCGUAGUCCCUGUCUCUUAUAC